rnacentral:rRNA from 1 species
GUCAAUGCCCAUACCCUGAAUGUGCCAGAUCUCAUCUGAUCUCAGAAGCUAAGCAAGGUUGGGCCUGGUUAGUACUUGGAUAGGAGAACCAAUAUAGUCA